rnacentral:lncRNA from 1 species
UAACGUGGGACUGAUUCCAGCCAAGGAGGGCGAGGCAGUGGGCUUCAAGCUGCACUACGGUGGAUCAUCGGACUCCAAAUCCCUAAUGUUUUAUUGAAAGUGAUUCUCAGGGACUCGUUGCUAACUAUUAUAUCAAAUACUAUACUAAAUAAUAAUAUUUAGCAUAAUAAUCAUUAUAGUACUUAGUAAUAUACUUUGUACAAAA